CACAGAGUUUCCUGGCCAUGCCUCCACCUAGGAUGGAGCUGAGUGAGGGGAAUGUCAUCACUUGCGGGGAGCCCCCCAGGGUCUUUGCUCUCUCACUCGCUAAGGUGAUAUGAAGUGCAUCCACAAUGAGGUAUCUACAUUUCUGGUUUUGUGGAGGAGAGAUGACUCAGAUUCAACUUUAUGGCUAGCAAGGACUUUUCCUCAAUGGUUUCUCCCCAACACAUCAUCUUCCUGGUCAGCAGCUACCCCAGGACUGGGAGGAGCUCCAAGACCUUUUCAGAGAAAGAAGAGAAGGUGUAUAUUGCAUAAGGAAAGCAGCAGACUGAAAAGAGGCAGAAACAUACAGGACAUAACAUACAAAAGAACUUUCAUAUUUAAGGAAUUUUUAAAUGGCCUAACCAUAUUGCACUCUACCACUUGCAGCAGCACAAGAAAGUCACACUAAUUGGAAAUAACUCAACAAAUCAGUUAAUGUUUAGAAGUAUUACAUGGCUUCAGUUUUACAUUUCUGUUAAAGAGAAUUUAAAUGUCUGCUAUAUUCACUGCCUAAAAAUUUUGUUAAGGCACAAUUAAAGUUGACUGGCAGAGCCUUGCACUCUUCCAAAAUAUCUUAAUUAUAUUAUACUGCUGUAGUUAUGUGGGAAUAAUUAUACCAUAAUAAAGUCACUUUUACUCUGGAAUAAAGUGUCCACACAGGGGGUUAGUUCUGCCCAUCAAUUUCUCUAUGUAGAUGAGCCCAAUGUUUCAGCCUGGGCUGCCCUAUACUAAGCAGACAUGAGGAAUGGCUAAGUACAUGUGAUAUUUUACCAGGUAUAUGGUGUUCUUCAAAACUGUAUUCUUUCAUUCAUUUGUAUGCACACCAACUGCCCUUCACUGUAUUAGGGGCAGCUACAUCUUGCAGUAGGUUCCCACAGUUCACACUAAAAUAUGAGGAGAGGUGUGGCUGUGCCCAAAGGCAUGAGGGACUCUUGUUUCUGUUCUGAGUUAUUUGGACUGUGAAAAUAGUAGUCUGGUGGCACAUAACACCGCACUACAAGACAGACCCAAGUGCAGGGGAUGUUCCAGAGGCAAUCCUUAGGAUAUGGAUAAAGGGACAGUAACAUCUGGGACCUAUAGAGUGAUUUGUGCAGAGUAAAUAUGAUAUUAUUAUUACCUAGCUCUUACAUAGUCCUUUUCAUUAGUAGAUCUCGGUGGUCAA